GGCAAGGUGGCCGAGUGGUUAUGGCGGUAGACUCAAGUUCUACUCUCGAAAGAGGCAGGGGUUCGAAUCCCCUUCUUGUCA